GGAUGUGAGGGCACUCUGGCUGUGACAUCUGUCACCCCAUUGGUCGCCAAGGUUGAUUCGGCUGAUCUGGCUGGCUAGGCGGGUGUCCCCUUCCUCCCUCACCGCUCCAUGUGCGUCCCUCCCGAAGCUGCUCGAUCAAUGGAAGAGGACAACCUUCCCCGAAUAGAGGAGGACCAGUCUUCGGUCAAGGGUAUAUGAGUAGCUGCGCUCCCCUGCUAGAACCUCCAAACAAGCUCUGAAGAACAGGGAACUUUAUUAGCUAAUUGAAACUGGCCUAUUUAGGACUUUGGCUGUCAUAUAAU
rnacentral:snRNA from 1 species